UACGAAGGGGGCUAGCGUUGCUCGGAAUUACUGGGCGUAAAGGGAGCGUAGGCGGAUAGUUAAGUCAGAGGUGAAAGCCCAGGGCUCAACCUUGGAAUUGCCUUUGAUACUGGCUAUCUUGAGUAUGGGAGAGGUAAGCGGAACUCCGAGUGUAGAGGUGAAAUUCGUAGAUAUUCGGAAGAACACCAGUGGCGAAGGCGGCUUACUGGCCCAUUACUGACGCUGAGGCUUCGAAAGCGUGGGGA
rnacentral:rRNA from 1 species